AGUGAACGCUGGCGGCGUGCUUAACACAUGCAAGUCGAACGAGAACGGAAUAUAGCUUGCUAUAUUUGUCAGCUAAGUGGCGCACGGGUGAGUAAUGUAUAGAUAACCUGCCCUUAAGAAAGGAAUAACAGUUGGAAACGACUGCUAAUGCCCUAUAUGCCUUUAAUACAUAAGUAUGCAAGAGAAACGCUUUAGUGCUUAAGGAUGGGUCUGUAUGGUAUCAGCUUGUUGGUGAGGUAAUGGCUCACCAAGGCUAUGACGCCUAACUGGUUUGAGAGGAUGAUCAGUCACACUGGAACUGAGACACGGUCCAGACUCCUACGGGAGGCAGCAGUGGGGAAUAUUGCACAAUGGACGAAAGUCUGAUGCAGCAACGCCGCGUGGAGGAUAACACAUCUCGGUGCGUAAACUCCUUUUAUAUAGGAAGAUAAUGACGGUACUAUAUGAAUAAGCACCGGCUAACUCCGUGCCAGCAGCCGCGGUAA
rnacentral:rRNA from 1 species